AUUGAACGCUGGCGGCAGGCUUAACACAUGCAAGUCGAGCGAGCGGCGGACGGGUGAGUAAUGUCUGGGAAACUGCCUGAUGGAUGGGGAUAACUACUGGAAACGGUAGCUAAUACCGCAUACCAUCAGAUGUGCCCAGAUGGGAUUAGCUAGUAGGUGGGGUAAUGGCUCACCUAGGCGACGAUCCCUAGCUGGUCUGAGAGGAUGACCAGGAAAGCUGGAACUGAGGAGCGGUCCAGACUGCUACGGGAGGCAGCAGUGGGGAAUAUUGCACAAUGGGGAGAAUCCUGAUGCAGCCAUGCGGCGUGUGUGAAGAAGGCCUUCGGGUUGUAAAGCACUUUCAGAGAGGCGGCGUUACUCGCAGAAGAAGCACCGGCUAGCUCCGUGCCAGCAGCCGCGGUAAUAC
rnacentral:rRNA from 1 species